AGUAACCUUGCCUAAGUCAACAGUGGCCCCGCUGCUUUACUGCAUAAGAAAUUCUGAAGAUCAUAUUUGGGCCUCGAAGACGGAAACCUGCUAUAUGCCUUGAUUGACGGCCGAGCCUCGCACGGGCUCAGACUGCGAUGCCGUAAUGCGUUUUGCUUCCACAUCAACAGACGGAACAUGGGGGCUACAAAAGAGGAAAAGAUGGCCUGCGAUGAUGAGGAGCCAAAGCGGCGGGCUUUUGGCACUCUUCGAGCCGCAUUUGAGAAUUUCCUACUUACCUCAUUUCAGAGGUGUUGCUUAAUCACAUUCACUGCCUGUCUGAAGAGCCAUGAAGAAAGAAGACCCAAAUGAGUUAAACUAUGAGGAUUACGAAGUUCAACUGGUGUUUCUUUAACCCCCGGAGACCCACAGUAAGUCAGCAAUCUUUGCAGGCUUUUGUGUUUUGUCAUUUUUACAGUUUUACACAUCCAAGAACAAGCAAAACAUCAGCUAAUUGUAUAUUACUGGACUUGCAUACACUUGCAACAGGGGAUAUUAGCCAAUAAAACAAAACUGUACAUUCACAGUCACUUUAUUAAGUACAUCUGUUCAACUGCUUGUUUAUGCAACUAUCUAAUCAGCCAAUCACAUGACAGCAACUCAGGGCAGGCAGGGAGACGUGGUCAAGAAAACCUGCUGAAGUUCAAAUUGAACAUGAGAAUGGGGAAGAAGCAUAAUUUAAGUGAACUUAAACGUAGCAUGGUUGUUACUGUAAGUAUUUCAGAAACUGCUGAUCUGCAGGGAUUUUUCCAUAUGUACAUAUUUACACAGAAUGGUCUGAAAAAGAGAAAAUAUCCAGUGCGUGGCAGUUAAAAUGCUGAUCAAAGGAGAAUGGAAAGACUAAGAAUAGGAAGGCAGCAGUAACUAAAUAACCACUCAUUGCAAUCAAGACAUGCAGAAGAGCAUCUCUGAACGCACAGCACAUUGAACCUUGAGGCAGAUGAGCUACAGCAGCAGAGGACCACACUGGGUGCGAGUCCUGUCAGCUCAGAACAGGAAACUAAGGCUACAGUUCAAACAGGAUCAUCAACACUGGACAAUGGAAUAUUGGAAAAAACGUUGCCUGGUCUGAUGAGUCUCGAUUUCUGCUGCAACAUUCAGAUGGUAGAGUCAGACUUUGGGAUAAACAACAUGAAAACUUGGAUCCAUGCUGCCUUGCAUCAACAGUUCAGGCUGCUGGUAGUGCGAUGGUGUGGGGGAUAUUUUCUUGGCACACUUUAGACCUCUUAGUGCCAACUGAGCGUAUAAACAACACGGCCUCCCUCAGUAUCGCUGCUGACCAUGUUACAUUAAAUUACAGCAGUAAAGCAGCCUUUAUUACCACCAUAUUACCAUCUUCAUGAGCUUGUUUAAUGUAACAUGUGGUAUAAAAGUGCCAUGAAUAUAAUUCACAGUAAUGUCAGAUUAUGUUUGCAAAUUCUUUGUGAGCCCUAAAUCUCAUAAGCAGUUAAGAAAAUAAAUGGAUGGAUGGAUCACAGGUUUAUGCAGAUUCAUACUCUGGGGAGCACUAAUGUUUACACUAAAUUGGACUUGACUAAAGUUUUGUUGGGUAAUUUUACAAAAAGUCAGAAAAAAAAGAAAGAAAAAAACUUCCUCCUGGGCCUUAGGAAAUUACAUUUAUACAAAAGAAAUCACAUCCACACUGGCCUGGUAUCAAAAGAUAACAUAGGCAAUGAGACGUUUCAUAUGCUAUCACUUGUUUAGAGUCAGCUAUCCCCACAUGGUGAAACGUACCCUCGAAGCUUUGCUCCAAAAUGCUUAUUGAAGUUUUCACUGGUAAAUUAUUGGAUAAGAGAUCAUCCCAGAUAUUGAAUUAGUGCAGUUUUGCCAUUGAAACUGUUAUUCAUCCAAUGAUACUGAUGCUCAAAGCUGGUCCAUCCAUCCAUGGAGCCAGUUUCUUCCACUUAUACAAUGGGCCGAGAAGCGGGGGUACACCCUGGAGAGGUCACCAGUCUGUUGCAGGACUAACACAUAACACAUUCACACCUAUUGGCAAUUUAGAAUCACAAAUUAACCUAACCCUACUCACUGUACUGUGAGAGGAAGCUGUGACUGUGACAGUUAAAGUGGAUGUAAAAUUGAUUUGGUUGCAGUUUGUAGCAGAGCUGAGAAACUGUGAGCUCUGAAAAUGUCAUGCCUCAACACUCAUGUACUUUACGAGGCCUCAAAAACUGCUGGAAACAAUAAGACGAAUCAAAAGCACCAGAUUUCCACCAACCCUUGUGUGCUUUUCAGGCCUGUCACUGGUACAAAGAUUAAAUUGUGCAUGGCUUCAUUAAAUAUGUUAAAGUUAAAAAUGGUGUCUUUCUAAGGAGGGGUCAGGUUGGAGGCGCACACUGUUUUUAAACAUGGCUAAAACUCGUCAUUACACUUAAAAAAAAAAGCUCAGGAUGACUGAAGUGCCGUUUAAGUUAAAAACAUGAAUUGUGCUAAUGACUACUCUGAAUAAUGUGAAAAUUACCAUGCCACAAAAUGUAACUGUUACUAAUUACUACAUGAAUGUUUGUAAUGAGUUCGACUAAUAACAGACUGCAAGUGGCAAAAACCGCAGAACAUGUUUUCACACGUGCACUGCUGGGUGGCCAAACGGCCAUGCAGUCUGUUUAUAACCAGUUCCUGUAAGAUUGCAUCAGGAAACAAGAAGCACACAUGAUGCAAAGACAAUGCAUCUUUGCAUCAUCUCUAUUUUACCAUUGGCUCUCCGUGCACAACCCCACCAUCCCCUUUUAACUAAGAACUGACACACCGCAGCAAUGAACUGCAAUGCCUUCACGACUGGGCAAAGGGGAUGCAACCUAAAACAAACCAUAAUUAUCUAUUUGUGGUUCUGCUUGGGGCAAAAAAGAACAUAAUACAAAAGCACACACACGAUGUUUGGAGUUCCAGUAAGUUCCACAACCACAGUUUAGUCUCAGGGGGAUUCUGGGUUCCUCUUAGCUGAACUUCUUCGCUUUCUUUCUUGAACGAUGCAUGCACACACAUAUACACUCCUGCAUGCAAUAAACAUAACACUAGCUCACAGGUCUUGGUGUCCACGGGACAGUUUGCUCUGCCGACCUGCUGUGAGCCGGGCCUGUGUCUUUUCUCCUAGACAUUGCUUCAGACUUACUAUCUGUUUCCACAGCCGUGCGCCUGCUGACCCGAGAAUGCGGACGGCACUCGGGUACAUUGUUUUACGAGGCUGAGCGGCGUAUGUGAGAUGUAAAAUGUAGAUGCUGCUUAUUUUUCUGGAUAAAGCUAACUGUGGGCGGAUUUUUGCACCAGUGUGUGUUACAUUUAUUCUUAAGUGAUAAUCUGACAAGGAGAUUCUUGUCGUUUCACAUUUGGUGUCAUCUUUGGUGAAAUUUAGUAACUGCUCAAGUGAUUUGGGUGCAGUGUACCCCACCAUUACUUACAUAUGGAAAGUGCCACAUUUCUGUCCUCGAGGGAUUUGGGCAAUUAAGGAAAACUUCAUGGAUUUUAAAUCUGUUUGUUUACAGGUCUUAUGGAGCCUACACUGCAUAAACGAUGGACAUAGCCCUAAAUGUGAUGUCACACUUGUUCCUGAACUAUCAUUUUGAUGCCUUGAAUUUAACGUUAUAAUUAUAACUACCUUAUUGUGGAGGAGGGGUUUGUGUGUGGAUGCGUGCCAGCGGCUAUGCUGUUGGGGAGCUUCUUGGCCCCAGGUAAUUGGUCCUGGGUGAUGGACCAGUUUGCCAUGGGAGAUAGCAGUCACGUAAGAAUUAGCAGACUGGGGUGGUGGUUCCCGUCUUCAAGAAGAGGGACCGGAGGGUGUGCUCCAACUAUAGGGAGAUCAGACUCUUAAGCCUCUCUGGGAAAGUCUAUGCCAGGGUGCUGGAAAAGAGAGUCUGUUCGUUAGUCAAACCCCAUAGACAUGAGUAUCUAAGGUUACAGAACACUGAACCAGCUCUUUACCCUCUGAAGGAUAUUUGAGGGUGCAUGGGAGUUUUCCCAACCAGUCUAUAUGUGUUUUGUAGACUUAGAGAAGGCACUGCCUUGGAGUGUUCUGUAGGAGGUGUUUCGGGAGUAUGAGGUGUCUGGCCUGUUGCUAUGACCCAUUUGAUCCUUAUACAACUGUUUCAAGAGCUUGGUCCGCAUAGCUGGCAAUAGAUCGGACUCAUUCCCUGUGGGUGUUGGAUGAAAAGAUGGAGCACUGUGGCUAACGCUAGCUUGCUAAAACUUAGCAAACAAAGUAAUUUUUUUAUUUUUUGGACUCAAACAAAAAUAGCUAGCGAGUCAAAACCAAUAUUUCCACCAGGCUGUGAAUACGCUUGUUUCUAAUAGAAAUUUGGGGCAUUUAACAUGGACGUCCAUAGAGAACCCUUUACUUUCAGAGGCAGCCUCAAGCCAUUAUUAUAUCUUGCCUGAAGUUCUAGUCUGGGUGUACAACUGUAUGCGUUAGUUUGUUAGCUGCUCAUUAAAUGCUUUGUGUAAUGCAGCUGCAGCUGAAGGCAUUUUUUUGUAAAUUUAUCAGACCUCUGUAGCCUGCUAAUCAUCCCUGCUUGAGUUUUUGAAGCUACAUUAGCACCACCAAAAGUCACCAAAUUCUCAACACCCUGGUGAAGAUCACUCAUCUGUUUAUUCAAUAUGGCUGGUUUUCGUUUUUGUUCACAAUAAAUUGUGAAUGCAACAAAAGGAGUGCAAUGCUAACUUGGUGUGACUGUAACUGAAUGGGUCUUAAAUGAAAGAAAUAACUUGCCAUAAGUUUAGUUACUGUGUUAAUACGGAAAACAGUUGAUAUAUUCCAGCCUGAGCUGUAUAGCAGCACUUCAACUCAGAAUUUGCUCACAAUAAUUAAUAAGAACAUAGUUUGCAAAAGCUAUCAAAGGGUACUCAAAGGAAAUCCAUGGUACAGUUUCACAGAAGGUGUAAGUAGGCAAAUCAGGGAGUGGACACCUUGGUACGACCAAAAUUACUGCGACCAUGUGCAAUGAACUUGAGAGUUGCCAAUGAAAUAGUUGCUUUGAAGAUGCCAACCAGGUCUGCGACCACUCGCAGUCAGCUGCCAUCUUCAAAGUGACCCGUGUCAAAAUGGUGAUACAGAUGGAGUCAGUCUGCCUUCAGUGUGAGACUGAAUCAAGUUGGCAAUUACAUGCGAUCUGUUUGUGAUAAUAAAACAAUUAACUGAGGAAAAUAGGUGAAAACCACAAAUCUGUUGUUGUCUACUUACAUUCAGAUUCCAACCAGAACCUCAUAGAACUGAAACAGUCGUUAAGCAGUUCCUCCUCAGAUAGUGAUGUUGUUGCUCCAAACAUGCUUUCAUAUAGGAAUAUAAUCAGAAUAUAACCAGUUGCUAACUAAUCGAGUCAAGUCCCCUGUUGUAGAGAGACUUGUUGCAGACAAACUCAGGCUGAUCGCAAUGUGUUGGCAAUCUGUAUUUAUGAAUUAAAAAGCAAUUACUGGCAAACAUUUACCAGUCUGUCUGAGAGUGAUAGCGGUCAGUCCAACUUGAACUCCAACUGUUUGGAGACAGGUUGCCUCCCACCAGUUGACCUCUUCCAAAAAUGGUCAUGCAGAGGUUGAGGCUGUUGCAUGCUCAACCUUUGGGCAGUCAGUUGGGUGCUGCAGCUACUUGCAAUUUGCUGAAUCCGAACAAAUUCAAGCAAUCACUGUGCAACCAUCGAUUUUUCCUAGUUGCAAGGAGGUUUGACUGAGUUGUAAGCGUCUUUGUUCACGCGUGUAUUGCAUAAACUGAGAAACAUUUAACAGGAGUGGUCUUCCCAAAAUGUCACACUUCCUGAAAGAGAAACAAAUACCACAGUUGUGUCGUCAUAUGUGCCAUCGCAAGGCUCUGAGAGCUUUCUGAUGUUCUCGCUCCGGUUUUCCACACUCGAUAUAGUACGAGGUGUUCGCUGCUCGUAUUUUACAUACUUCUCCACCCUUUCCCGAACACUGCUGCUGCUGCUGCAACCCCUUGACCUGUCUGUCGACCCUUGUUCCCAUGACAAUUAGUUUGAAACCUUGGCCAAUUAUCGGCCGCUCUCAAACUCGGGCUUAACAAAGUGCUCAGAGCGGCCGACGGCGUGCCACCACUUUCCUAAACCCCCUCAAUAGCCGAGAGAGAUUUGUGUGCUGGGUUAAUAGCGGGAUAGUAAAAGCACUGCAGAGGCGACAUUGUUGAGUUCAUGUUGGUUUAUAGUGCGCUGUGACCCUGCUGAACGUUUUAUAGAGAAGGGUGUCUAUCAUGGGAUAAGGGCAGCAUAAAGAGGACUCCACAACAAGCAGCCAUAAAAGCCUGGUACAGACUUUGAGGGCCUCUACAGAAAAAAAGGAGACCUCAGGAGCAACUGAAAUGAAAUCUGAUUCAUGGAAAGGCAAGACUGAAAGAGCUGAGGGCCAUGCUGCACAACCUGUUACACACUGCCAGGCGAGAAACAGAGAUCGAGUGUCUUUCUAUUCUGCGUGUAGGUGACGCGUCCCCUCAAGAAUGUGGUUCUCUUCCUCUCGCCGUUUGCUUCAGUUUCCCCCUCUGCCUGCUUACUUCACUCGCACAGCCGAGGAGCUGUCGCUUGAGGAAUCUGGAAAACACCAGCGGGGAAUGAGAGGAAUUUCUGCUUUUCGUUUUUCCUUAACCACCCCCUCACUCCUUUUGCUCUCUUUACUUUGGACGCCUCUGCACAGCCGGGCUCUUGAGUUUUCUCUUGUUUCUGAAUGCAGCCCAACAAUAACAACCUCUCAUAAACAAUGGGGCUUGUUGAUUUGGGGGUUGUGAAGGAGAGUGGCCGUUGCUGGCCUGCGCUGUCAGUUUUGCUGGCAGCGGGCCUCGCGAAUGGCCCUAAAAGCUCGAAAGUACAGGCUACAUCGAGGACUGUGAAAGAUUUAAGGGCAACUUUAAAUAUGCCCCAUCUCUGAAGGACCAUAAACACAUGCUUUAGUUCUUUCUUAAUCUAUCUUUCUUCCAGAAGGACUUUGAUGGACCAAACUCUGAAAGGGGGAUGCUGGUCAAUGUCAGGAAACCACAAAAGUACAGGGGGGAAAAAAUGGUAGUUUUGGAAUUCUCUGCUUUUACAGCACCCGUGGACUCGUAAAGAGAGUCUGGAUCACAUCGAGUAGGAUUUGAACAAGACGAUCGUGGAGCCGUGCCCCAUCCUUUCAGCCUAUGGGCAAAACAUAGCCGGUCACAUGUCAUUUAAACAGCAACAGUUAAACCCUGCCUGCGUGACAGGGAAAUGAUAAUACAGAGU